rnacentral:rRNA from 1 species
ACUGGUGCGCGAGAUGAGUAUUCUAAGGCGCUUGAGAGAACUCAGGAGAAGGAACUCGGCAAAUUGACACCGUAACUUCGGAAGAAGGUGUGCCUUUAGUAGGUGAAGUCCCUCGCGGAUGGAGCCCAAUGAGGUUGCAAAAAUCGGUGGCUGCGACUGUUUAUUAAAAACACAGCACUCUGCAAACACGAAAGUGGACGUAUAGGGUGUGACGCCUGCCCGGUGCUGGAAGAUUAAAUGAUGGGGUGCAAGCUCUUGAUUGAAGUCCCAGUAAACGGCGGCCGUAACCAUAACGGUCCUAAGGUAGCGAAAUUCCUUGUCGGGUAAGUUCCGACCUGCACGAAUGGCGUAACGAUGGCCACACUGUCUCCUCCUGAGACUCAGCGAAGUUGAAAUGUUUGUGAUGAUGCAAUCUCCCCGCGGAAAGACGGAAAGACCCCAUGAACCUUUACUGUAGCUUUGUAUUGGACUUUGAACAGAUCUGUGUAGGAUAGGUGGGAGGCUUUGAAGCAGGGUCGCUAGAUCUUGUGGAGCCAACGUUGAAAUACCACCCUGGUGUGUUUGAGGUUCUAACCUAGGCCCGUAAUCCGGGUUGGGGACAGUGCAUGGUAGGCAGUUUGACUGGGGCGGUCUCCUCCCAAAGUGUAACGGAGGAGUUCGAAGGUACGCUAGUUACGGUCGGACAUCGUGACGAUAGUGCAAUGGCAUAAGCGUGCUUAACUGCGAGACUGACAAGUCGAGCAGAUGCGAAAGCAGGACAUAGUGAUCCGGUGGUUCUGUAUGGAAGGGCCAUCGCUCAACGGAUAAAAGGUACUCUGGGGAUAACAGGCUGAUACCGCCCAAGAGUUCAUAUCGACGGCGGUGUUUGGCACCUCGAUGUCGGCUCAUCUCAUCCUGGGGCUGUAGCCGGUCCCAAGGGUAUGGCUGUUCGCCAUUUAAAGAGGUACGUGAGCUGGGUUUAAAACGUCGUGAGACAGUUUGGUCCCUAUCUUCCGUGGGCGCUGCAGAUUUGAGGAAGCCUGCUCCUAGUACGAGAGGACCGGAGUGGACGCACCUCUGGUGUAUCGGUUGUCACGCCAGUGGCAUUGCCGAGUAGCUAUGUGCGGAAGAGAUAACCGCUGAAAGCAUCUAAGCGGGAAACUCGUUUCAAGAUGAGAUCUGCCGGGGCCUUGAGCCCCCUGAAGAGUCGUUCAAGACCAGGACGUUGAUAGGUCGGGUGUGGAAGCGCAGUAAUGCGUUAAGCUAACCGAUACUAAUUGCUCGUGCGGCUUGACCCC